GAUGAACGCUGGCGGCGUGCCUAAUACAUGCAAGUCGAGCGAACGGACGAGAAGCUUGCUUCUCUGAUGUUAGCGGCGGACGGGUGAGUAACACGUGGAUAACCUACCUAUAAGACUGGGAUAACUUCGGGAAACCGGAGCUAAUACCGGAUAAUAUUUUGAACCGCAUGGUUCAAAAGUGAAAGACGGUCUUGCUGUCACUUAUAGAUGGAUCCGCGCUGCAUUAGCUAGUUGGUAAGGUAACGGCUUACCAAGGCAACGAUGCAUAGCCGACCUGAGAGGGUGAUCGGCCACACUGGAACUGAGACACGGUCCAGACUCCUACGGGAGGCAGCCGUAGGGAAUCUUCCGCCAUGGGCGAAAGCCUGACGGAGCAACGCCGCGUGAGUGAUGAAGGUCUUCGGAUCGUAAAACUCUGUUAUUAGGGAAGAACAUAUGUGUAAGUAACUGUGCACAACUUGACGGUACCUAAUCAGAAAGCCACGGCUAACUACGUG
rnacentral:rRNA from 1 species